CCCCGUACACAAAAAUGCACAUGCUGUGAGCUCGAUGAGUAGGGCGGGACACGUGGUAUCCUGUCUGAAUAUGGGGGGACCAUCCUCCAAGGCUAAAUACUCCUGACUGACCGAUAGUGAACCAGUACCGUGAGGGAAAGGCGAAAAGAACCCCGGCGAGGGGAGUGAAAAAGAACCUGAAACCGUGUACGUACAAGCAGUGGGAGCACGCUUAGGCGUGUGACUGCGUACCUUUUGUAUAAUGGGUCAGCGACUUAUAUUCUGUAGCAAGGUUAACCGAAUAGGGGAGCCGAAGGGAAACCGAGUCUUAACUGGGCGUUAAGUUGCAGGGUAUAGACCCGAAACCCGGUGAUCUAGCCAUGGGCAGGUUGAAGGUUGGGUAACACUAACUGGAGGACCGAACCGACUAAUGUUGAAAAAUUAGCGGAUGACUUGUGGCUGGGGGUGAAAGGCCAAUCAAACCGGGAGAUAGCUGGUUCUCCCCGAAAGCUAUUUAGGUAGCGCCUCGUGAAUUCAUCUCCGGGGGUAGAGCACUGUUUCGGCAAGGGGGUCAUCCCGACUUACCAACCCGAUGCAAACUGCGAAUACCGGAGAAUGUUAUCACGGGAGACACACGGCGGGUGCUAACGUCCGUCGUGAAGAGGGAAACAACCCAGACCGCCAGCUAAGGUCCCAAAGUCAUGGUUAAGUGGGAAACGAUGUGGGAAGGCCCAGACAGCCAGGAUGUUGGCUUAGAAGCAGCCAUCAUUUAAAGAAAGCGUAAUAGCUCACUGGUCGAGUCGGCCUGCGCGGAAGAUGUAACGGGGCUAAACCAUGCACCGAAGCUGCGGCAGCGACGCUGAUGCGUUGUUGGGUAGGGGAGCGUUCUGUAAGCCUGCGAAGGUGUGCUGUGAGGCAUGCUGGAGGUAUCAGAAGUGCGAAUGCUGACAUAAGUAACGAUAAAGCGGGUGAAAAGCCCGCUCGCCGGAAGACCAAGGGUUCCUGUCCAACGUUAAUCGGGGCAGGGUGAGUCGACCCCUAAGGCGAGGCCGAAAGGCGUAGUCGAUGGGAAACAGGUUAAUAUUCCUGUACUUGGUGUUACUGCGAAGGGGGGACGGAGAAGGCUAUGUUGGCCGGGCGACGGUUGUCCCGGUUUAAGCGUGUAGGCUGGUUUUCCAGGCAAAUCCGGAAAAUCAAGGCUGAGGCGUGAUGACGAGGCACUACGGUGCUGAAGCAACAAAUGCCCUGCUUCCAGGAAAAGCCUCUAAGCAUCAGGUAACAUCAAAUCGUACCCCAAACCGACACAGGUGGUCAGGUAGAGAAUACCAAGGCGCUUGAGAGAACUCGGGUGAAGGAACUAGGCAAAAUGGUGCCGUAACUUCGGGAGAAGGCACGC
rnacentral:rRNA from 1 species